UAUUAGAAUAGAAAUAAGUGAGAGGAUUAGUAGUGAACUUGCAAGGUGAAGACAAAAGGUAGGAUGCGAGUAAUAAAAAAAAGUAAAGGAGAACUCACAGUUGCAGAGCUUCGAGAAAUUUAUCGUGUUCUUCUUCAGUCCAGCUCUCCCUGG